rnacentral:rRNA from 1 species
UACGAAGGGGGCUAGCGUUGCUCGGAAUCACUGGGCGUAAAGCGCACGUAGGCGGAUUUCUAAGUCAGGGGUGAAAUCCUGGAGCUCAACUCCAGAACUGCCUUUGAUACUGGCGAUCUCGAGUCCGGGAGAGGUGAGUGGAACUGCGAGUGUAGAGGUGAAAUUCGUAGAUAUUCGCAAGAACACCAGUGGCGAAGGCGGCUCACUGGCCCGGUACUGGACGCUGAGGUGCGAAAG